rnacentral:rRNA from 1 species
CCUACGGGAGGCAGCAGUGGGGAAUAUUGGGCAAUGGGCGCAAGCCUGACCCAGCAACGCCGCGUGAAGGAAGAAGGCUUUCGGGUUGUAAACUUCUUUUAUCAGGGACGUAACACGUGACGGUACCUGAUCACUAAGCCUCGGCUAACUACGUGCCAGCAGCCGCGGUACUACGUAGGUGGCAAGCGUUAUCCGGAUUUACUGGGUGUAAAGGGCGUGUAGGCGGGAGUGCAAGUCAGAUGUGAAACCUAUGGGCUCAACCCAUAGCCUGCAUUUGAAACUGUAGGUCUUGAGUGCUGGAGAGGAAAUCGGAAUUCCGGGUGUAGCGGUGAAAUGCGUAGAUAUAAGGAGGAACACCAGUGGCGAAGGCGGAUUGCUGGACAGUAACUGACGCUGAGGCGCGAAAGCGUGGGGAGCAAACAGGAUUAGAUACCCGGGUAGUC